GCUGAAGCGUUUCCUGUCUCUGGGCUGUAGGAGGAGCUAUAUUACCCACUUGGAGACCUCUGUCAUCCAUGAGAGAAAGGAAAAAUGGCUAGAGAACAGCAAGGGAACCAGAAGUAAGGUGUGUAUGUGUGGGGAGCAAGCAAAGAGAGGCCUUUUUGGGGGGUAGGGAACUGGAGAAAAAAAGGAGCUGGAGAAAAAAGAAACUGCUAAGAAAUGUAAAACAAACAAGGCAAGGAGGAAGUAAAAAGGAAUGCACCAGAGAGCUGAAGAACGACUAUCCCAGAAGUGCUCCUCUCAACUAUAGAAAUUGCUUCCUUGAUUCUCGCUCAGAGAGACGGCAACAAAAAAAGAAUACCUUCUACCUACAUCAAAUUCUGAGACCAAACUGUCCCUGAGGGAGCUUCAGAUGACCCCAGGAUUGAUAUGUCAGGAAGUAAUAAUGCUCCAUACCUGAACUUGUGCGCCAAUAAACUGGAAAGCCAGAAAUCCAGGUUCUGUCCGAAUGAUAAGGAUGCCAAGGAUAAACUGCAGGGCAAGCCCCCAGAACACAGCUCUCCAGGACACCUGUAAACCAACACAUGUAAGUGGGAUCUCUGCAAGUAAAGGCAGCAAGACCAUUCUGUAAGAGCCAGCAUUAGCCAGUAAGCCAGAAUACCACUGGUCUGUGGAACACACUGGCAAAGGAGGUAAUAUAAAGGAGGUCAUUGUAUGAAUAGGUGUUGCUAUUGUUUUGUAAAAAUCCUUAAAAAUCCAUGUUAAGGAAACUGAAAUUCUGCUGUCAAAUGUAUUUAUUUACUUACAUUUUAGCUCAUUCAGUCUUGAGAUUCAGGCAGGUAAUAAUUUAAAAAAUAAAAUUAAGCUGGAAGCUGAAAAAUGAAAUGUACAGGUUGCGUUGAUGUAUGAGAG